rnacentral:tRNA from 1 species
GUGCUUGUAGCUCAGUUGGUUAGAGCGUCGGUUUGUGGUACCGAAGGUCGCGAGUUCGAACCUCGUCAGGCACC